GUCUGCUGUGUGGUUGGCCAAACGGAGGGAGUUGAUCGCCGUCGUGAUCAAGCACGUCGUCGAUUUACGGUUUACUUCGAGUCAAUGGCCAAUAACAAUAAUGAAUUCGACAGACGCCGUGGCAGACUUGUAAGGCCCCCUGGCGUAUUUCUAAACUAAGAAUGAUGUUUAAUGCAAUUUGUUGUGAAGCCUUUAUCACUCGAUCGUUAUCUGGUUAAAAUUAAAAAGCAAAUAAACAUCAUGAUAUAAAA